ACCACCGAACUCGAUCUGGGGGAGCCAGGGAUGAACGAUAUCGAUCAGAAUUCUCUCUUGUCAGAAUUUACUCUGAAGAUAUCCACACAGAAGCAGUUCAGGCUGCACUGGCAAAGCAUAAAGAACAGAAGAUGGCUUUGCCCAUGCCAACCAAAAGGCGAUCCACAUUUGUUCAGUCUCCUGCAGAUGCCUGCACACCUCCUGACACAUCUUCGGCCUCUGAGGAUGAGGGCUCUCUGAGACGCCAAGCUGCGCUCUCUGCUGCCUUGCAACAGAGCUUACAGAAUGCUGAGUCCUGGAUCAACCGUUCAAUUCAGGGAUCGUCCACUUCUUCAUCCGCAUCUUCUACGCUGUCCCACGGAGAGGUCAAAGGAACCAGUGGGUCUCUAGCUGAUGUAUUUGCCAAUACUCGAAUAGAGAAUUUCUCUGCUCCUCCUGAUGUCACUACAACUACCUCUUCCUCCUCCUCAUCUUCCUCAAUUCGCCCAGCAAACAUUGACCUGCCCCCCUCGGGGAUAGUUAAAGGCAUGCACAAAGGAUCCAACAGGUCCAGCCUUAUGGAUACAGCUGAUGGUGUUCCUGUCAGUAGCAGAGUAUCUACAAAAAUCCAGCAGCUUCUGAACACUCUGAAACGACCCAAAAGGCCUCCCUUAAAGGAAUUUUUUGUGGAUGACUCUGAAGAAAUUGUGGAAGUACCUCAGCCAGACCCCAACCAGCCCAAGCCGGAGGGACGGCAGAUGACCCCUGUGAAAGGAGAGCCUUUAGGAGUCAUCUGUAACUGGCCUCCUGCUCUUGAAUCUGCCCUGCAGCGCUGGGGUACCACUCAAGCAAAAUGCUCCUGUCUGACUGCACUGGACAUGACAGGGAAACCAGUUUACACUCUUACAUAUGGUGAGUCUGCAAGAUUCCAGAUCCUUCUCUCCUGAGAGUUCUUCAGAAUAUCAUGGGUAGUGUUUUUAUCUAGAUACUUAGCAGUUGCUGGCCAUUAUGUUUCAGUAGAUUUUUUCAAUAAUUUAAAAGGAUCCUAAGCUCUAAGUAAAGCUAUUGCCAAAUAUUUUCAUUUGCUAAAGCAACAUUUGCAAGCCAGCUAAUAUUUAAAAGACAGCAAAAAGAAGAGAGACUUUGUACAUCCAUAGAUGUUUUAACAUUACAAGAGGAUUUUAGAAAAACAUUUGGUAUUAAUGAUGUAUGGUGAAAAUCAGAUGGUUUUAUCUAACAGUUGAAACUGAUUACUUGUUAAAUCUUUAUUCCAUCCUGCUUCUUGAUUAUAAUAGGCACAAAAUUCUGUAAUGAACAAAGAAUGAGUACUUUUCCGUUUAAUUUUGCAUACUAGCUAAAAUUUUUCUUUUUAAAAUAACUUCAAGGAAAAAUGGGGUCAACCCUGGGCUAUGAGAUUUUGUACUAGUUUAUUCAAACAGAUUCCUUUUCUCCUUUGCAAGUGGAGCACAGUGUCCAUAGACCUAGAUGGAAAAUAAUCUUUGAGGAAAAACAAGGUUUUAUUUAAAGAAUUACGCAGGUUGACAUAGUUUAAACUUUGGAUGCCCCUCUGAAUAAAUUGUAUGUAAAAUAAUGUAGCUAUUUAAAAUAACAUGAUUUCCCUUUUCCUUAUCUCAUAAUCUAAAAUAAGAAUUUCUAAGAGUGGUUGAGGGGAGGGAGUAGGAAAAGAAAAGCAUUUUUUGUUUGUUUUUGCCAAAAUUGUUUUAACAUUCACCUCAGAAGCUGUAUAUACAUUUCAUUCAUAUAACCCUUAAAGAAAGCAUUUAGCUGGCCAAAUCUUUGCAUGUUUAUUUAACAUCUAUGAAUACAUCCACAUGUUCAUACAGAUAAUUUCCAUUUUAGUGUUUGUUUUCACUAAAUUACAGCGGUAUGGAAUGUUUAAUCAUUUGAGCCAUGUUUUUGCUUUGCAGUUUCCUCAAGUGUCUGAUACCACCUAUGUAAGUGGUUUUUCAGAAAAAGCUUACAACAUUUCUGAAGAUAUUUGUAAAUUUUUUAAAAAACUGGCCGGGUACAGUUGGCUCAUGCCUGUAAUCCCAACACUUUGGGAGGUUGAGACAGGUGGAUCACCUGAGGCCAGGAAUUUGAGACCAGCCUGGACAACAUGGCGAAACCUCAUCUCUAUUAAAAAUACAAAAAUUAGCCGGAUGUGGUGACACACACCUGUAGUCCCAGCUACUUGAGAGGCUGAGGCAAGAAUUACUUGAACAGGGAGACAGACAGAGGUUGCAGUGAGCCGAGAUUACACCACUGCACUCCAGCCUGGGUGACAGAGUGAGACUCUGUCUUUAAAAAAAAAAAAAAAAAAAAAAAAA
rnacentral:sRNA from 1 species